GUUACAUAGAAAGUAUUUGCGCACUGCAGCCAACUCCCAACAUUUUUCUCUUCUCUCAUUAAAAGCUUCUAUUUUUUUAUUAAUGUUUUAUAUGUUCAUUGUUGAAAAUAAUAGAGUAUAAAAAUAAGCCAAAAGAAAAAUAUCACCUAUGGAAAAACUACUUUGUUAUCCUGGCUAAUAUUUUGGUAUAUAAUAUUUUUGCUCUGUGUUAUUUUGGUAUAAAGCAUUCUAAACCUUGUUUAUGCACAUAUAUGCAUGUAAAUUUGCAUUAAAUGCUUUAAAGUAAGAUUUUUUUUAAAGUAACAUGUAGUAACCGUCUUUCAAAAUGUAAUCUGACGUUAAAAUUCUUAUGACCACACAGUGUUCCAAGGUAUGUUAUAACAAGAAUAAAUGCAGAGAAUAUAGAGAAUUUAACUAAUUCUAUACUGUUUAAUAUUUUGGUUAGUUAAAAGUUAAGAUAGGUGGGAUUACUCUGUGGUAAUAAAUAACUCCUGAUUUUCUGGAGAAAUAAACAACAAAGUUUAUUUCUUUUCAUGAUGCAUGCCCGUUGAGGGUUAGUGGAAAACUCAGCUUCAAGAAGACUGCACCCCAGAAGCCAGGCUGGUUUUCUACUUGCAAUAAGAAAGGCAGAGAGCUUUUGCAUGGUUAAGGAAUAUUCUGCUUCUCAAAGCUAAUUGGCUAGGACUUGUCCCAUACUACAAAGGGGCCAGGAAAUCCAAUCCUACCAUAUUUUUCAAACUCUCAAGAUUGAAAUGUAUUACAUUGUUGAAAAGUAAAUUAAAAGUGAAUGAACUGAAAAACAAAUGACAGCAUUUAUGACAGAGAUUUUUUACGGGAAAACCGAAGUCCAGAAAUGCUUAGACGCUGGUCCAAGGAAUCAGCUAUUGAAUGGCUGAGUCAAAAUUCAGUGAGACUCAGGCUAAGAGAGUGAGACAGUCACAGUUCUGCUUGGGAAAGAGAAACUGAUCAGCCUUAUCUGUAUUUCUCUAAAACAUUUUUUUCCAUACACUUAAACUUUCUUAUUGCUUCAAUUUUUUAAAGUAUUAUCAUCAGGGAAAAUUACUUAAUUCAUAAAUCACAGCCUGAGCUUUGUUUCACAAGUAUUAAAUCAGCAUGAAACCUCUAGGUGCAUAAUUUUCAACUUUUUGAUUACAUUUAAUUACAGCAAUAAAAAUACUCUUCCUUUAGAGCUUUAAAUUUGGCAUAUUUUCCUUCUUCCUAAAAAAAUCUAUUUUGAAAGGCAGAUGAUAAAAGCUAAUAUUUAUCUUAAAGCCUUAAAUUAAGCUGUAUUUUGAGCAUUCCAAGACAGUUGGCUUCUGCUUGUUGAGUUUAUUUAUUAAGACUUAGCUCUCUUCUAUUCUCAGUAAGUUUAUUGAAAAAUUUUUUUGUUCUAUGAAAUGUUUUUGACUUGGACUUUUUAAAAUUUUUUUUUUUAUGAAAUGUUUUUGACUUUGACUUUUUAAUUUUUUUGUGUGUGUGUCUUUUUGUCCUUUUUAGGGCUGCACCUGCAGCAUAUAGAGGUUCCCAGGCUAGGGGUCUAAUCGGAGCUGUAGCUGCCGGCCUACGCCACAGCCACAGCAACAUCAGAUCUGAGCCUCGUCUGUGACCUACCCCACAGCUCACGGCAAUGCUGGAUCCUUAACCCACAGAGCAAGGCCAGGGAUUGAACCUACACCCUCGUGGAUGCUAGCCAGAUUUGUUUCCGUUGCGCCAUGAUGGGUACUCUGACUUCUUAACUUUUUUAUGUUCACGUUUUCCCCUAUUGAAUUUUAGGCUUUUUACUUAUCCCUUCUUUUAUCAUUAACUUUCUCAUUCAGUAUCAAAUAUUUUUACUAAAGCAAAAUCAAGAGGGUUAAAGUCAAAUUUGAGCUCUUCUCAUUAUUCAAAUUUUUAAGUAUGUAUAUUAUAUACACAGUUUCUUUUUUGCAAUUACAAAAGAUAAGCUGGAAAGCACAAAAAAUAUUUUAAAUGUACAAAAAUGCUAUCCAUGAUGCUCUUAACCAGAAAAAAUUCAGUUAAUCUUUGGCAUAUAUUGGCCAGCACUUAAGGAAAUUUUAUAAAUAGUUGAGAUUAUUAUUUAAAAUGUAUUAUUCAUUGUUUACUUAUAAGCAUUUCCUCAUGUUAUAAACAUUAUCAUAAACAGAGCCUUAAUGGUGACAUAAUAUUCCAUUAUAUGAUCAUGCCAAAUUAGUUUACUUAAUAUUGAGUAUUUAAGAUAGAUUUAGAUUUAAAUUUCAAAAAUUUUAAAAUAAUAAUAAUUAUUUGUAAAAAAAUAGUAUUUUAUGCAUACAUCAUUGAGUCUCUUUCUGAUUAUUUUCUUAUAAAUUUUUAAAUGAUUGAAAUGGAGGGCACACAUAUUCUUAAGUCCCCUUCCCUUGUUUGCAAUUUUUCUCUAAAUAGAUUAUACUGCCAGAUGAGAGUGCCUAUAUCACUCUACCAGAAUAACACUGAAUUCUGCUUUAUGUAAAUGAGAUUAGUAAAUAAUGUGAUUAUUGGCUUUAAUUUCUGUUUCUUCGAUGACUACUUAGGUUAAUCAAUUGUCAUAUGCUUUUAAGCAAUUUAUAUUUCAUCUUUUAUGAAUUAUUGCUUAUAUCCUUUGCCCAUUAGCAAUGUAACACUAAGAUUCUAGUACUUUCCUUUUAGUAUUGCGUCAGUGUUUACACCUGAAUAAUGCUAACCAGGUGUCAUAAUGGUGGCAAACAUUUGUCUAGAUUGCUGAUAGUUUUUAAUUUUGUUUUAAAAACUCGUGUUUUUAAAUGUCACCAUUUCUCCCUAAAGGGAAGAUGAGAGUGUGGCUCUACAUCAUAGACGCAAAAAGUGUUUGGACAAAUACCAACAUCCUUUUCGACACCCAUUUCGUCUUAAAAACUCUCGGACAACUUGGAAGUGAAGAGAAUUUCUCCCAUCUGAUAAAAGGGAUCUAUCACAAAACUACAACUAACAUCAUGCUUGCUGGUAAAACAUUAAAACUUUUUCCCCUGAGAUUGGAAAUGAGGCAAGGAUGCCCAUCCUCGCCACUUCUGGAUAUUUACCAGAAGUAAAUGACUAUAAAGUAGAAAAUCCUAUGCAAUCUACCAAAAAACAAUCCUUUAUAAGAACUAGAAUUAAAAAGAUUGACAACACCAGCUGUUGACAGGGCUGGGAAACACUGAGACUCUGCACAGUGUUGGUAGUGAUGUAAAAUAAUGCAACUUAAUUGGAGAACGGUUUGGCAGCUCUAAAAAAUUUAAAUGUGCAUCUACCCCAUAACUAAACAAUUCUACUCCCAGAUGCUUAUCCAAGAGAAACAAGCACAUAUGUCCACAUAAAAAUUUGUAGAUAAUGUUUACAGCAGCUUAAGUCACAAGGGCCAGUAGCAGUCUAAAUGUUCAUCAAAAAGAGAUAGGAUAAGCAAAUUGUGGUACAUUUGUGUAACAUGACACUAUUCAGCAAGGAAAAGGAAUGAACUACUGAUACAGCAGGAUGGAUGAUUUCCAAAAAUAUUGUUUUGGAAAAAAAAAGGCAAUCACAAAAGAGUACUUACUGGAUGAUUCUAUGUAGAUAAUGUGUAAGAAAAACCAAAACUUAUCUGUGGAUGUAGAAGUCAGAAAAAGAAGGAUGGCUUUGUUGAAGUGGAAUUGACUGAAAAAUGCAAUGAGUUAAAUUCUUGGGGUGAUUUCAAUUUUCUCUAUCUUGUUUCGGUGUGCUGGUAAUACAAGUACAUACUAUUGCCAAAAUGCUCUGAACUAAAUACCCAAGCUUUUGUGUGUUUUACUGUGUAUAAAUUAUAUCCCAGUUUUAAAAAGAGAGAUAUGAAAUCCAUUAUCCAAAGAGAAUUUUUUGGCAAACACUUAAUCUAUCUACAAAUAUCUGCAUUUAUUACACUUUCUUCAAUGCUUUAUGUUCCAUUGAAUCAUGUUUAUUGGAAUCAUGCCCAAAUAAAUAGCACCCAUCAUCAGUUCAACAGAGUCUGUCAGGACAGAUACCAUACAUGUAUUUUGAUCCAAAAAAUUUUAAGUGACAUUUUCCUUUAUUCACAAAAUAGUUUAGGUAAAAUGUCCAUUGACAGAGGAGUAGAUAAAGAAGAUGUGGUACAUAUACACAAUGGAAUAUUACUUGGUCAUCAAAAAGAAUGAAAUAAUGUUACUUGCAGCAACAUGGAUGGACCUAGAAAUCAUCAUGCUAAGUGAAGUUGUCAGACAGUGAGAAACAAACAUCAUAGGCUAUCACUUGUAUGUGGAAUAUAAAAAAGGAUUCAAUGAACUUAUUUGCAGAACAGAAGCUUUCUCACAGACUUUGAAAACUUAUGGUUACCAAAGGAGAGAGGUCGUGUCGGGGGCAGGGGCUGGAGAUUUGGGAUGGAAAUCUUCUAAAAUUAGGUUGUUAUGGUGGUUGUACAAUUAUAAAUAUAAUAAAAUUCACUGAAUUUUUAAAAAAAGACCAAAAAACAAAUUAGUUUAGAAAUGUGCUAACAAGUUGCUCUACAUUUUGGAUUUCAUCUCACCUGGAAAGAUUUUUAUCUAUGUACAUCAUAUCUAUUUGAUUUUUCAGUUAUAAAUAUUUUCUCCCAGAUAAGAUGCUUUUGUCAAACUGGAUGAAAAUACCAUGUAGCUAUUUGGUCGGAAAGAGAACUCCCUUUCCUGCAUAAUAAUCCAGAGAAGGUUUUUUUAAAGCUAAAAUUGGUUUAUUUCAAAAUUUAGUGUGAUGAUAUGGAUCAUAAUUAAUUAAGAAUACACAUUACAGUGGAUACUUAAAAUAAAUCAAUGAUGUCCCUUGCUUUGUGCCUUCCCCAGUGGUUACAUAUUUUAGAUUAAGAAUAUUAAGAAUUGCUCAAGUUUGAACUGAAUAAAGAAUGGAAACUCCAAGAAAUACAGUUUCCUUAUCAGAUUUUCUUCAAUAAAAUACAGGAGAUUAUUUUUCUAGACAGCAAUUCACCUAAAAUACUUUUUUUUAGCAUAAAUAUUUGACUAGCGCCUGAAUUUAGUUGCUGUCUGCCAAGAGGACUAGUUUUCUUUGGCAAGGGAAAGUAUCUUAGAACUCUUUUCAGAGGAGAGCCAUUGGGAAAUAGAUGUGCAUGUAUGAGAUUUUUAUAAUUUUAGUUAAAAACAAAGCUGUCUCUAGACAUUUCCACUUAUAAAAUAUUUCUGUUUUGCAAGGGAAAAUAUUUCUAUUUUGUAGGGAAAAAGUGGACUUGAAGGUUGAAGACUGGGUAGGAUAAUAAAAUACAAGUGUUUUUGAAUUGCUGUCUUGAACAUUAUAAAAGAAGUUGAAGUGAACCUUGGAAAUUCAUUCUAAUUCUUCUGUAUGAUUAAAAGCAGGAAUAAAUGAGGCCAGGUACAAAGUGUCUUACUUUAUUCUGAUGUACUGUGGCAUAAAAAAAUAAGUAAAAAUACAGCAAUAUCGUAUCAGGUGCUGCUGCAGAAAUAAUUGUACGCCUAUACCUCUGUGGUGAACCAGAAAGUACAACUGAGAAAUUCUCUCUUAGCUAUCUCAAUCACAGCACAUAGAGUAAAGGAUACUGGAAGCUAUUUACUUUUUCUUUUAAAAUGUUUUAUUGUCUUUAAAAAUUAAA
rnacentral:lncRNA from 1 species